GCUUGACUGUAGCUUGUAAUUGGGUUCGGGCUUUUUUGCGCAGCCUAGGUGGGAGGCAACGAUGAUUUUUUUCCGGGAAAAUUUAAGCCGUUAGUGAGAGACCACUCUGAAAAGGCUAGAAUCCUAAUAAUGAUCCUUGAAUCAGGACAUUUGACAGUUGCAGGUGGGCAGUUUUACUGGGGCGGUAUUCUCCUAAAAAGUAACGGAGGGGUGCAAAGGUUCCCUCAAGCUGGACGGAAAUCAGCUUAAGAGUGUAAAGGCAAAAGGGAGCUUGACUGCAAGACCUACAAGUCGAGCAGGGGCGAAAGCCGGCCUUAGUGAUCCGACGGUACCACGUGGAAGGGCCGUCGCUCAACGGAUAAAAGUUA
rnacentral:rRNA from 1 species